GAUGAACGCUGGCGGCAUGCCUAACACAUGCAAGUCGAACGAAGCACUUGAGUAGCUUGCUAUGAGAGUGACUUAGUGGCGAACGGGUGAGUAAUGCAUGAGCAACCUGCCCUUCAGUGGGGGGACAACAGUUGGAAACGACUGCUAAUACCGCAUAACACUUCCGAAAGGCAUCUUUUGGAAGUCAAAGAUUUAUUGCUGAAGGAUGGGCUCAUGUCUGAUUAGCUAGUUGGUGAGGUAACGGCUCACCAAGGCGACGAUCAGUAGCCGGUCUGAGAGGAUGAACGGCCACAUUGGGACUGAGAUACGGCCCAGACUCCUACGGGAGGCAGCAGUGGGGAAUAUUGGGCAAUGGGGGAAACCCUGACCCAGCAAUGCCGCGUGAAGGAAGAAGGCCUUCGGGUUGUAAACUUCUUUUACCGUAAGGACGGAAACAAAUAGACGGUACUCGGCGAAUAAGACUCCGGCUAAC
rnacentral:rRNA from 1 species